CGCGGGAGCAACGCGCCGGUGGAGCGACGAUGUCGAGCGGGAGCGCCACCGCCCGUGGACACAUCGGCCUAUUCCCGCAGCCCUCCUCUCACCUUGGCGGCGGCGGCUCCCCACGCCCUCCUCUCCCGUGAGGCGCUACGCCCUCUUGGGUCGACGGCGCGGCGCCCGGUCCUGCAACAGCAAGUGGGUUCGUGCAUGGUGGUGGAGAUGUACAAGGCAUCGAUUCUGGAGCUCUGGACGACGGCGCGGGUGUUGGGGCAGAGGUAGGUGGAGAUCUUCUCAAAUCGUGGCGACGCCGGAGUCUUGGCGGCUCGUCACCAGACCUCGCCGGCGGGCAAAGGUCUCUGCUGCAGCUCACGCCGUCUUCGUUCGUUUCGACCAAGGUUUGUUGCUUCCGGAGAAGAGAGAUGGCCCUGUACUCACCCCUCACUGCACCCUACUCCUCCUCUACUCCCUCUCCCUCCUCGUAUAGCAUUCCUUCAGAUUGAGGCCUACUGUAAUACCUAAUUUCCUGUGAAAUCAAGUAUGUUCUUAUUGAUUUAAUUGCAGGGUUGCGUUUUUUCUCAAAUUAUUUUGGUACACCUGUGUUGUGAAAGAAGAAGAAAAGUUCUACAGUUGAUUGGACCCAAAUCUAGCAGGUGAUAGGUUCUCAAAACUAUUGCUUGCUGAUACAGUUUCAAAGAAUUAUCUUGGCGCUGAGAUUGUUUCACACUAUGUAUCUUAUGGAGCAAGUACGAUAGAGAUCAUCAGGCAUCUCAUAUCACACCGAAGAAAAAUGGAAGCCUCGAUAUAUCUGCUCUAUUCUUUGGGGCAUUGAGACGGUAUCUUCCAGCCCCACUCUUCUGUGCCUAUGUGGAUGGUUGUUUUGAUCAAAUGGUACUAUAUUAUAUCCAUAUCCUCUAGCCACGCAUGUUCGUUUUACCAUCACUGUGAGAAGAUUAGCCCUUCAGAGUGGUGGUGGUGGUUGGAGGUGAAGGCAAGGUUGUUUUUCUUGAUGAUUUUUCAUUUGUUACUGAACAAGACUCUGAACAUAUUUAGUUCAUGCCUUUCUAUCUUAUAGCAGUGUAAAGGAACCUCUUGCAGGAUUGUUUCCAAAUACAUAGAUAGGGAUUUAUUUGCACACAAACUUGGUAAGUUCAGUUUGGUUGGUGAUUGUGGCGCUUAGCAUACAGAGCACGACCGGUGUUGUUUCGUCACAUUGAGACAAGGUGAUGGUAUCUUCCUCCAUAUUAGGCCGCCUACCGACGGGCCUCCGCUUGCUGCAGCUUCUCUGUGGCUUCAUCCUUUCCCUGACUCGGUCUUCUGCAGAUCGAGAUGGACAACAUCUGAAUUUUAUCGGGGGUUGGAAGGCCAAGGAGAACGAGAAGGAAGUCGCAGCCUUGGAUGCCAGAGUGAAAAGUGACGUCGACACCGGUGAUAAUUUUAUUGGGGAUUGGAAGGCCAAGGAGAACGAGAAGGAAGCCGCAGCCUUGGAUGCCACAGUGAAAAGUGACAUCGACACCGGUGAUAAGGAACUCCCAAAAUUUCUCCCGCGCCGGUUCUUUCUUCGCCAUCUUCUCUCCAUAUCACUGUGAUAUUUUCCCUGCCUUACAUAGGUUUAUACAUGAUGACUGGUACAUGAGCAUCCUAAUUAUCACUAAUUAUUUUGGUGGUCAAACCAAUUGUGUGUAGCCAUGUACUAAACCUGGUAUUUCCUCAUAUCAGUGUGUAAAUAAGCGAAUUUUAACAUUCCCCAAAAUUUGCUGCAUGCCUAUACUAAAUCAGUGGUAUUUACUAGGCUAUUGGAUUUUAUGUUAUUUUAAUUUUUUGCAUUCACUACAAUAUUAUUUUUCUGCAUUUCGGCUUACUUGUGUUAUAGGUAUUAAUUGGUGAUCUUAUAUUUAUUUAUUGUGGUUCCUAUGUUUCUUGAUAGGUGCAUGAUGCAUGUGUCUGCUAUCUUGAAUAUCAGUGAGAAUUGUAUGUCCGCAAGGUUUUCUUAUUCGAUAAUUCCAUCUGGUGUUUGAUUUUGAGAUGCGAAGCUCCGUUAUGUUGCCUCGUCUUAUAUUUUUUCCUUCCUGUGUACUUGUCUGCUGGUCUCAUUUUGGAAUGUCUCACGUCCUUGUAUUUGUUGCCCCUUCAGGUACCAACUUUAUGCUCAGAUUUUUUUACCUUUGGUUUUCAUAUUUUAGUUUUCUCUAAUGGCUUGAACUCCUCGCCUUUGCAUAGGUUGAGUUGUUUAUUCAUAACUAUGUGACAAUAUUUGGAUAAUUUGACCACCUUUAUAUUUUUCUAAUCACCAUUACUUCACAGAUAUCAUGAUCAAGAAGUGAACUCUCAAAAGGCAUUCUGAUUUUCAAAUGUCCUCUCUUGAAAAAUUCUUAUGGUAAUUUGGUCAUUCUAGGUGCAGGAAGAGUAGUGUUCUCAAGCUAUUAAGAUUGUUUCCUUUAAAUGGUAAUUGUUAUAUGGUUUUAUUUUCUAAUUGAUCAGAUAAAUAGGUUGUAUACUGAAGGGGUGAGAUCAGGUGUCUUCCCUGUUUAUGUACUAUUGUGAGUGACUUCAUUCUUUUUGGAGCUCUCUUGGACAAACAAUUAGAGAUCAAGAAUAUGUUCUCGUGAAAACAUUGUUUCCUGACAUCCAACGGAUCACUAGAGGUGGGUGUUCAAGAUCUCAAUAGUCGCUUGGGGCCAUUCAAUACGUAGUAGUAGUUUGGACAUUGUGGACUUCUUGAGUCAAAUGCUCUUUAUGGAAAGUAUAGAAACAUGGAAAUUUAGAAGGGUAUUUGGAAGGGUGGUUCCAGCUGCAGCUUACAUGUCACUGGGCUUGCAAUGCUCAAUGCAUCCGAAUUAUUUUGCUUCAGGUUUAAACCAUAGCAUUCUCUCCGUCAUAUACAUCAUUCUAUUGGAGAAGUCCCAGUCUACUUCCUUCGAGCAAGCAGUGUAUAGGUUGUUGACCUUAGUUCAUAGUAAGACAUGUUUAUUAAUGAAGAUUUACAUAUUGUUUCAUUGACAUGUAUUAAUAAAGAUUUACAUAUUGUUUCGUCCAUCGGAUAGUCUUCCAUUUGAUUUCUACAGAUGCUUAAUAUAGUGUUUUACAAACUGUUCAUUGGGGCCGUGAGCCAAGGCGAGCCCCAAAAUAUUUAUCUAUUUCCUUCAA